rnacentral:rRNA from 1 species
AUUGAACGCUGGCGGCAGGCCUAACACAUGCAAGUCGAACGAGUGGCGGACGGGUGAGUAAUGUUUGGGAAACUGCCUGAUGGAGGGGGCUAACUACUGGAAACGGUAGCUAAUACCGCAUACCAUCGGAUGUGCCCAGAGGGGAUUAGCUCGUAGGUGGGGUAAAGUCUCACCUAGGUGACGAUCCCUAGCUGGUCUGAGAGGCUGACCAGCCACACUGGAACUGAGACACGGUCCAGAAUCCUACGGGAGGCAGCAGAGGGGAAUAUUGCACAAUGGGCGCAAGCCGGAUGCAGCAAUGCCGCGUGGAUGAGGGAGGGCUUCGGGGUGUAAAGUACUUUCAGCGGAGAGGCGUUACCCGCAGAAGAAGCACCGGCUAACUCCGUGCCAGCAGCCGCGGUAAUAC